rnacentral:piRNA from 6 species
UCGCCGUGAUCGUAUAGUGGUUAGUACUCUG